rnacentral:rRNA from 1 species
UACGGAGGGUGCAAGCGUUAUCCGGAUUCACUGGGUUUAAAGGGUGCGUAGGCGGAUAUGUAAGUCCGUGGUGAAAUCUCUGGGCUUAACCCGGAAACUGCCAUGGAUACUAUGUGUCUUGAAUGUUGUUGAGGUGAGCGGAAUAUGUCAUGUAGCGGUGAAAUGCUUAGAUAUGACAUAGAACACCAAUUGCGAAGGCAGCUCACUAAGCAAAUAUUGACGCUGAGGCACGAAAGCGUGGGGAUCAAAC